rnacentral:rRNA from 1 species
AUUGAACGCUGGCGGCAGGCCUAACACAUGCAAGUCGAACGCGUGGCGGACGGGGGAGGAAUGUGUAGGAAACUGUCCGUUAGAGGGGGAUAACUACUGGAAAAGGCAGCUAAAAACGCGUACAAUCAGAUGUGACCAGAUGGGAUUGGAUUGUAGGUGAGGUAACGGCUCACCUAGGCGACGAUCCCUAGCUGGUCUGAGAGGAUGACCAGCCACACUGGGAUGGAGACACGUUCCAGACUCCUACGGGAGGCAGCAGUGGGGAAUAUUGCACAAGGGGCGAAAGCCUGAUGCAGCAAUGCCGCGUGUAUGAAGAAGGUCUGCGGGUUGUAAAGUACUUUCAGCGGGGAGGCGUUACCCAAAGAAGAAGCACCGGCUAACUCCGUGCCAGCAGCCGCGGUAAUAC